rnacentral:tRNA from 1 species
GGCUCGUUGGUCUAGGGGUAUGAUUCUUGCUUAGACUGCGAGAGGUCCUGGGUUCAAAUCCCGGAUGAGCCC